rnacentral:rRNA from 1 species
UGGGGAAUAUUGCACAAUGGGCGAAAGCCUGAUGCAGCAACGCCGCGUGAGGGACGACGGCCUUCGGGUUGUAAACCUCUUUUAGCAAGGAAGAAGCGAAAGUGACGGUACUUGCAGAAAAAGCGCCGGCUAACUACGUGCCAGCAGCCGCGGUAAUACGUAGGGCGCAAGCGUUAUCCGGAAUUAUUGGGCGUAAAGAGCUCGUAGGCGGUUUGUCGCGUCUGCUGUGAAAACCCGAGGCUCAACCUCGGGCCUGCAGUGGGUACGGGCAGACUAGAGUGCGGUAGGGGAGAUUGGAACUCCUGGUGUAGCGGUGGAAUGCGCAGAUAUCAGGAAGAACACCGAUGGCGAAGGCAGAUCUCUGGGCCGUAACUGACGCUGAGGAGCGAAAGGGUGGGGAGCAAACAGGCUUAGAUACCCUGGUAGUCCACCCCGUAAACGUUGGGAACUAGUUGUGGGGUCCAUUCCACGGAUUCCGUGACGCAGCUAACGCAUUAAGUUCCCCGCCUGGGGGAGUACGGCCGCAAGGCUAAAACUUGAAAGAAUUGACGGGGUCAUAGCUGUUUCCU